AGAGGACAUCCAGCCAGGAAAGCCAACACAGCUGAGUAGGAAGUUUUAAAAUCAAUUCCUGACAUGUCUCUCCUUUUAAUUUAUUUUGAAUACCAACUGAAUUUUUCUUCUAUUUGUCCCUAAUUUUAAAAUCCAGAGAGAAAACAAGUAAAAAUUUUGCUUUGCAGUUGAUGUGCUACAAUGUGUGAGUUUUCAUCCAAAACUUCAAAUAUUUUCAGGGUUUCUGCUAAAGCUCUGAUUGCUCAUCCCAGAGUCACUGGACUGAUGAGGCAAGUGUGACACCAGAAGAAACAGUGAUUACAGCACAUCUUCUCGGAACAAUUCCCUUCUGAAUUUCCUCCAGGACACAAAGCAGGCAGUGCUGGGUAGGUGGCUGUGCGUGUUGGGAUUUGUG
rnacentral:lncRNA from 1 species